rnacentral:rRNA from 1 species
CAGCAGCCACGGUAAUACGGAGGGUGCAAGCGUUAUCCGGAUUUAUUGGGUUUAAAGGGUCCGUAGGCGGAUCUGUAAGUCAGUGGUGAAAUCUCACAGCUUAACUGUGAAACUGCCAUUGAUACUGCAGGUCUUGAGUAAAUUUGAAGUGGCUGGAAUAAGUAGUGUAGCGGUGAAAUGCAUAGAUAUUACUUAGAACACCAAUUGCGAAGGCAGGUCACUAAGAUUUAACUGACGCUGAUGGACGAAAGCGUGGGGAGCGAACAGGAUUAGAUACCCCAGUAGUCCCUGUCUCUUAUAC